rnacentral:sRNA from 1 species
UUUGUGAUAUUAGGCAUUUGGAUGAUUGGGCAAAAAGCCAGCUGAUUGAAAUGCUCAAACAGGCAGCAGCCCUGGUGAUAACUGUGAUGUAUACUGAUGGUUCCACCCAGCUAGGAGCUGACCAGACCCCCGUUUCUUCUGUUAGAGGAAUUGUGGUGUUAGUAAAACGCCAAGCAGAGGGUGGCCAUGGCUGUCCAGAUGCCCCGGCCUGUGGUCCUGUUCUGGAGGGCUUUGUGUCAGAUGAUCCAUGCAUCUACAUUCAAAUAGAGCACUCUGCUAUCUGGGACCAAGAACAGGAGGCACAUCAGCAAUUUGCCCGGAACGUGCUAUUUCAAACACUGAAAUGUAAAUGUCCUGUUAUUUGUUUUAAUGCUAAGGAUUUUGUGAGAAUAGUGCUGCAGUUUUUUGGUAAUGAUGGCAGUUGGAAGCAUGGAUUAUGGUUUAUGGCAACUAUUUUGUACUUUGGAGCUUCCUCUGAUACCAAUUUUGGCAGUGAUGGAAAGCCACGCCAUUCAGGUGAACAAAGAGGAGAUGGAGAAGACGUCAGCACUUCUUGGGGCUCGUCUCAAGGAAUUGGAGCAAGAAGCUCAUUUUGUUGCAGGAGAACGGUUUCUUAUCAUGAGCAAUAACCAGCUUCGAGAGAUCCUCUUUGGCAAGUUAAAGCUGCACCUGCUGAGUCAAAGGAACAGUCUCCCCAGAACGGGGCUGCAGAAAUACCCGUCCACAUCAGAAGCAGUGAAUAUCCAAGGUAUCUCCAAGCACCCAAUUCAGAUUACUACACCUAAGAAUUUUAAAGGUAAAGAAGACAAGAUUCUCACGAUCUCCCCGAGGGCCAUGUUUGUUUCAUCCAAAGGCCACACCUUUCUAGCAGCAGACUUUUCACAGAUUGAAUUGCGCAUUCUUGCACAUUUAUCUGGAGAUCCAGAACUUCUGAAGUUAUUCCAGGAAUCUGAAAGAGAUGAUGUAUUUUCUACUCUGACUUCACAGUGGAAGGAUGUGCCCGUGGAACAGGUGACACACGCAGACAGAGAGCAAACCAAGAAGGUGGUGUACGCGGUGGUCUAUGGAGCAGGGAAGGAGCGGCUGGCUGCUUGCCUUGGAGUUCCUGUUCAGGAAGCUGCCCAGUUUUUGGAGAGUUUUUUGCAGAAGUACAAGAAAAUCAAGGACUUCGCCCGAGCAGCUAUUGCCCAGUGUCACCAGACAGGCUGUGUGGUGUCCAUCAUGGGCAGAAGGAGACCCCUGCCAAGGAUUCACGCUCAUGACCAGCAACUCCGGGCACAAGCAGAGCGACAGGCAGUGAACUUCGUGGUGCAAGCUCAGAGCCAGCACCUCUGUGUGGAGGUACCGUGAGAGCUGUGGCAAUGGUGCAGAAUGCUGAGUGCACCAUGAACCGUGUGCCAUGGGACCUCAAGACAGUACCACGCGCCCCAUAGGCUCUGCUGCUGACCUCUGCAAGCUGGCCAUGAUCCAUGUCUUCACUGCAGUGGCUGCUUCCCACACCUUGACGGCCAGGUCAGUGGGUGGCGGUCUCCCAGGGCUUGGAUGGGAGGGUUAGUAUUCUGUGGGAAGACCCCCUCGGGGCUCGUGAUUCUGACUGAUCACCAUCUCUGCUUAUCGGGCCCCCGUACCCUCCUGAGGCUCUCAGCCCAUGGAAGGCCAUGGGGGCUACUCACAGCAGGCAUGCAGACAACAACCAACCAUCCACCAGCGUGGAGUGCAGAUGAGGCCUCUCCAGACAGAAAUGCUGUCUCCCCCAGACCCCUCCUCCUCGGGGUGUCUGCACAGCACAGGGGCACCCCUUGGGGCUGCCCACCCCAGAGGCAGGCGAACCCCUCAGCCCCUUGAGCAGGACCCUGGGGACUCCAAACUGCCCCCACCCCUGCCUGUUGCUGCCACCAAUGCCAGGCAGUGUGCCCCACGCCCAGCUCUGCCCCCACCCCUACCUGUUGCUGCCACCAGUGCCAGGCAGUGUGCCCCACGCCCAGCUCUGCCCCCACCCCUACCUGUUGCUGCCACCAGUGCCAGGCAGUGUGCCCCAUGCCCAGCUCUGCCCCCACCCCUACCUGUUGCUGCCACCAGUGCCAGGCAGUGUGCCCCACGCCCAGCUCUGCCCCCACCCCUGAGCCCAGAGCCAACAUGCAGACGUGCCUUGGUGGGGGGGGGCUCCGACCUGGCUGCCCCCCAGGCCAUAGCUCUCUCAGGCCUCUGUCCCUGCCUCAGUUAUUCCCCCAGGGCACAUUCCUCAAGAGUGUGGGUGGCCAGGGGACAAGCAGCCCUCGCCCAGCCACCUCCUCCUUGCCAGCCAAGGCCUGGCAAGUGGUGACCCAGACACCUCCUCUCCUCGUUCUCCUUGUGCAGGAUCCCCUCAGGAGUCCCGGAGCCCCUUCUGGGAGCUAACCUGCCCCAGCCCCCCACAGUGUCAGUCCCCGAAGGGCCUCUUGCCCUCUGACACACCAUGGACGUUUUCCUACCCCCACCCUAAGAGCCCUCAAGCUCUUGGCGCCAGUCCCGUGGGGGUCUAAGCACUGCCCCAGGGACUCUGCUUGCAGCUUCACUGGGCUGUGGGCUCUCAGUGCUGCUUUCUGCAGUAACUGCAGUGGUCAGGAGGCAGGAGUGGGGCAUUAGAAGAUUCACUCUCGGCUGGGCACAGUGGCUCACGCCUGUAAUCCCAGCACUUUGGGAGGCGGAGGUGGAUGGAUCACCUGAGGUCAGGAGUUUGAGACCAACCUGGCCAACAGGGCAAAACAUCGUCUCUACUAAAAAUACAAAAAUUAGCCAGGUGUGGUGGUACACACCUGUAAUCCCAGCUACUCAGGAGGCUGAGGCAGGAGGAUCGCUUGAACCCAGGAGGUGGAGGUUGCAGUGUGCCAAGAUCGCACCACUGCACUCCAGCCUGGGCGAGAGCAAGACUCUAACAGAAAAAAAAAUAAGAUUCACUCUCAGUCCUCUCCUGCCCCAUCUCACUGCCAUCUGCAUUCAUUCCCAACACACAUGCACAUGCACACAUACGUGCACACACACGCAUACACAAGCACAUGCACCCACACACGUGUUCACCCAUGCACACAACCCAUGUACACACAUAUACGCAUAUACACUGAUGCCAGGCAGCCUCUAGUGCCCCACAGUGGUCUCAUGGUGUCCUGAAAUCCAUGCAUCCCGCUCACUUCCACAGUUUCUGCAGGUAAAUUAUAGCUUCUCCCGGGAUAUGAGCAGCUUGUGCUAGUUUCCAUCUUGGCAGGAACUGAAAGCCAAAUGGUGGUCCUGCCUCUAAGAUACUGCAAGUCUAGAAAAGUUGAUUCAAGGCUGGGCGCAGUGGCUCACACCUGUAAUCCCAGCAUUUGGGAGGCCGAGUUGGGUGGAUCACUUGAGCUCAGAAGUUUGUGAACAACAUAUGUGUUGCCUGGGCAACAUAAUGAAACCUGUCUCUACAAAAUAAAAGCCGGCCAUGGUGGUACACACCUGUAGUCCCAGCUACUCAGGAGGCUGAAGUGGGAGGAUCACCUGAGCCUGGGAGUUCAAAGCUGCAGUGAGCCAUGAUCAUACCACUGCACUCCAGCCUGGGCAACAGGGCAAGAACCUGCCUCAAAAAAAGAAAAAAUCGGUUCACUUUCAGCCCUUGUGGAAUUGAUAAAGGAAGUUGGCAUGUGAGGAGCUGAGGUUUCUCUCUGUUGCUGACUGAGUCCUUCUGAAAGCUGGACACAGACACUUUUACUCAGGAACGCAGUUACUCGCUGGUCAUCCUUCUGUCAUCAGCCAUUGGCUGUCACGAGGAAGUGCUUCUCAUAGCAAAAUGCAAAGCAGACUCGUGUGGAAUAUUGGGCACAUGGUCUGUGUUUUGUGAACGCGAUUUGUUCUUCCAGGAGUAAUGUGAAAGGCUGUGGAUGGCGUCUGGAAGGGACGGGUGCAGGCUCAGUGUGGCCAGGCAUCUCUCCCUGAAGCAGCAGGCAUGAAACUCGAUCACUGGGAGGCACACGGUGCCCCUAGAGUGAGCUGAGAUCGCACCACUGCACUCCAGCCUGGGCGAGAGCGAGACUCUGUCU